rnacentral:rRNA from 1 species
UACGUAGGGUGCGAGCGUUAAUCGGAAUUACUGGGCGUAAAGUGUGCGCAGGCGGCGUCGCAAGUCGAGUGUGAAAGCCCCGGGCUUAACUUGGGAAUUGCGCUCGAAACUACGAUGCUGGAGUGUGGCAGAGGAAGGUGGAAUUCCACGUGUAGCGGUGAAAUGCGUAGAGAUGUGGAGGAACACCGAUGGCGAAGGCAGCCUUCUGGGCCAACACUGACGCUCAUGCACGAAAGCGUGGGGAGCAAACAGG